GACGUAGGGCGCAAGCGUUGUCCGGAUUUAUUGGGCGUAAAGAGCUCGUAGGCGGCUUGUUGCGUCGACCGUGAAAACCCGUGGCUCAACUGCGGGCUUGCGGUCGAUACGGGCGGGCUAGAGUUCGGUAGGGGAGACUGGAAUUCCUGGUGUAGCGGUGAAAUGCGCAGAUAUCAGGAGGAACACCAAUUGCGAAGGCAGCUCGCUGGGACGUUACUGACGCUGAGGAGCGAAAGCGUGGGGAGCGAACAGG
rnacentral:rRNA from 1 species